rnacentral:tRNA from 1 species
AGCUAGUGAACUUGUUAAGUAUAUACUUUGAAAGUAUAAUAAAGAGGUCUAUCCUCUACUAGCUU